rnacentral:rRNA from 1 species
CCCCGCCACGUGUGGCGGACUGACGGUACCGUAAGAAUAAGGAUCGGCUAACUCCGUGCCAGCAGCCGCGGUAAUACGGAGGAUCCAAGCGUUAUCCGGAAUCAUUGGGUUUAAAGGGUCCGUAGGCGGCCCGAUAAGUCAGUGGUGAAAUCUCCCGGCUCAACCGGGAAAUGGCCAUUGAUACUGUCGGGCUUGAAUUAGUAGGAAGUAACUAGAAUAUGUAGUGUAGCGGUGAAAUGCUUAGAUAUUACAUGGAAUACCAAUUGCGAAGGCAGGUUACUACUAAUAUAUUGACGCUGAUGGACGAAAGCGUGGGUAGCGAACAGGAUUAGAUACCCUGGUAGUC